AACGAACGCUGGCGGCAGGCUUAACACAUGCAAGUCGAACGCAUCCUUCGGGGUGAGUGGCAGACGGGUGAGUAACGCGUGGGAACGUGCCCUUCAGUUCGGAAUAACCCAGGGAAACUUGGGCUAAUACCGGAUACGUGCGAGAGCAGAAAGAUUUAUCGCUGAAGGAUCAGCCCGCGUCCGCUUAGCUAGUUGGUGGGGUAAUGGCCCACCAAGGCGACGAUCAGUAGCUCGUCUGGGAGGAUGAUCAGCCAAAUUGGGACUGAGACACGGCCCAAACUCCUACGGGAGGCAGCAGUGGGGAAUAUUGGACCAUGGGCGAAAGCCUGAUCCAGCCAUGCCGCGUGAGUGAUGACGGCCUUAGGGUUGUAAAGCUCUUUCGUCCGGGACGAUAAUGACGGUACCGGAAGAAGAAGCCCCGGCUAACUUCGUGCCAGCCGCCGCCGUAA
rnacentral:rRNA from 1 species